UACGUAGGGUGCAGGCGUUAAUCGGAAUUACUGGGCGUAAAGCGUGCGCAGGCGGUCUUUUAAGUCAGAUGUGAAAUCCCCGGGCUUAACCUGGGAACUGCGUUUGAAACUGGAAGGCUUAAGUGUGGCAGAGGGGGGUGGAAUUCCACGUGUAGCAGUGAAAUGCGUAGAGAUGUGGAGGAACACCGAUGGCGAAGGCAGCCCCCUGGGCUAACACUGACACUCAUGCACGAAAGCGUGGGGAGCAAACAGG
rnacentral:rRNA from 1 species